rnacentral:rRNA from 1 species
UACCCCGAGGAGAAGAAAUCAACCGAGAUUCCGGUAGUAGCGGCGAGCGAACCUGGAUUAGCCCUUAAGCACUCGGUGAAGUAGGUGAACAAGCUGGAAAGCUUGGCGAUACAGGGUGAUAGCCCCGUAACCGACGCUUCAUCGAGCGUGAAAUCGAGUAGGGCGGGACACGUGAUAUCCUGUCUGAAUAUGGGGGGACCAUCCUCCAAGGCUAAAUACUCCUGACUGACCGAUAGUGAACCAGUACCGUGAGGGAAAGGCGAAAAGAACCCCUGUGAGGGGAGUGAAAUAGAACCUGAAACCGUGUACGUACAAGCAGUAGGAGCACCUUCGUGGUGUGACUGCGUACCUUUUGUAUAAUGGGUCAGCGACUUAUAUUCAGUGGCAAGGUUAACCGUAUAGGGGAGCCGUAGCGAAAGCGAGUCUUAACUGGGCGCUCAGUCUCUGGAUAUAGACCCGAAACCGGGUGAUCUAGCCAUGGGCAGGUUGAAGGUUGAGUAACAUCAACUGGAGGACCGAACCGACUAAUGUUGAAAAAUUAGCGGAUGACUUGUGGCUAGGGGUGAAAGGCCAAUCAAACUCGGAGAUAGCUGGUUCUCCCCGAAAGCUAUUUAGGUAGCGCCUCGGACGAAUACUACUGGGGGUAGAGCACUGUUAAGGCUAGGGGGUCAUCCCGACUUACCAACCCUUUGCAAACUCCGAAUACCAGUAAGUACUAUCCGGGAGACACACGGCGGGUGCUAACGUCCGUCGUGGAGAGGGAAACAACCCAGACCGCCAGCUAAGGUCCCAAAGUAUUGCUAAGUGGGAAACGAUGUGGGAAGGCUCAGACAGCUAGGAUGUUGGCUUAGAAGCAGCCAUCAUUUAAAGAAAGCGUAAUAGCUCACUAGUCGAGUCGGCCUGCGCGGAAGAUGUAACGGGGCUAAGCA